GGCCGGUUGGUGUAGUUGGUUUAUCACAUGUCCUUUACACAGACAAGGUCCUGGGUUCGAGCCCCAGACUGGUCA
rnacentral:tRNA from 1 species